rnacentral:lncRNA from 10 species
GAUGCCCACCAAGUUCUCACUGUGAAUACUGGAGAAUAGUCUCUUCAUGCUCCUGGCAGAAGGUGGAGAAAAAUAACCAUUGUGAUAUAAGUCCAGAGCAUUCUGGUCCUCCUUCCCUUAAGGGAAAUUACAAGGGCCUAACUGAAGUGAGAAUUUAAAACUCUACGAGAUCCAUAUUGUCCUUAUAGCAGAAUCUCCUACAGUUGAGAGUGAAGCCCACCAAGCAGUGCAUACCUUCUGGGGUUUGCACAGAACAAAAUAAUGUGCUUGUAAAUGGAGAUGUUGGAGAUGUCUACAG